rfam:Canis lupus familiaris chromosome 18, whole genome shotgun sequence.
GCCUGGGUGGCUCAGUGGUUGAGCGUCUGCCUUUGGCUCAGGGCGUGAUCCUGGAGUCAUGGGAUCAAGUCCCAUAUCGGGCU